rnacentral:rRNA from 1 species
UACAGAGGUGGCAAGCGUUGUUCGGAAUUACUGGGCGUAAAGGGCGCGUAGGCGGCCUUCUAAGUCAGACGUGAAAUCCCCCGGCUUAACCUGGGAACUGCGUCUGAUACUGGAGGGCUUGAGUGCGGGAGAGGGAUGUGGAAUUCCAGGUGUAGCGGUGAAAUGCGUAGAUAUCUGGAGGGACACCGGUGGCGAAGGCGGCAUCCUGGACCGACACUGACGCUGAGGCGCGAAAGCUAGGGUAGCAAACGGG